UGGGGAAUAUUGGACAAUGGGCGAAAGCCUGAUCCAGCAAUGCCGCGUGUGUGAAGAAGGCCUUCGGGUUGUAAAGCACUUUAAGUUGGGAAGAAAAGCUCUGGCUAAUAUCUAGAGCCUUGACGGUACCAACAGAAUAAGCACCGGCUAACUCUGUGCCACAGCCGCGGUAAUACAGAGGGUGCUAGCGUUAAUCGGAUUUACUGGGCGUAAAGCGUGCGUAGGCGGUUUGAUAAGUCGAUUGNGAAAGCCCCGGGCUUAACCUGGGAAUUGCAGUUGAUACUGUCAGACUAGAAAACGGUAGAGGGAGGCGGAACUCCAGGUGUAGCGGUGAAAUGCGUAGAUAUCUGGAAGAACACCGAUGGCGAAGGCAACCUCCUGGGUCUGUUUUGACGCUGAGGCACGAAAGCGUGGGUAGCAAACAGGAUUAGAUACCCUGGUAGUCCACGCCGUAAACGAAUGAGAACUUGACGUUGGUUUGCUUAGCAAAUCGGUGUCGUAGCUAACGCGAUAAGUUCUCCGCCUGGGGAGUACGGCCGCAAGGUUGAAACUCAAAGGAAUUGACGGGGUCAUAGCUG
rnacentral:rRNA from 1 species